UCCAGUAUAACAGAGACUAUAGACAUCGCUGUGUAUAAACGUGGUUACGACACAGACAGGCUUACUAGCUUACUUGGGAGCUUAUUAUAAGAAUUGCAGGCGGAAAACGAGGUUUGCAAUCUCUGUAAUGGCAACUCGGAGUGAUUCUGUUGUUGGUUUCGUGGGGUUGGACGAGUUGAGCUUGGACUUGGCGGCUUCGCUUUUACGCUCUGGCUAUAGAGUCCAGGCCUUCGAGAUAAGCACUGAAUUGGUAGAUGAGUUUUUGAAGCUAGGGGGAAA